rnacentral:tRNA from 1 species
GGAAGUGUCGCAUAGUGGUCAAUUGCAGCGGGUUGCUAACUCGCGCCCUUCGGGGCCCGUGGGUUCAAAUCCCACCACUUCCGCAA